AUUGAACGCUGGCGGCAUGCUUUACACAUGCAAGUCGAACGGUAACAGGUCUUUCGGGAUGCUGACGAGUGGCGAACGGGUGAGUAAUGUAUCGGAACGUGCCCAGUAGUGGGGGAUAACUACUCGAAAGAGUGGCUAAUACCGCAUGAGAUCUCUGGAUGAAAGCGGGGGGACCGUAAGGCCUCGCGCUACUGGGAGCGGCCGAUAUCAGAUUAGGUUGUUGGUGAGGUAAAGGCUCACCAAGCCGACGAUCUGUAGCUGGUCUGAGAGGACGACCAGCCACACUGGAACUGAGACACGGUCCAGACUCCUACGGGAGGCAGCAGUGGGGAAUUUUGGACAAUGGGGGCAACCCUGAUCCAGCCAUUCCGCGUGAGUGCAGAAGGCCUUCGG
rnacentral:rRNA from 1 species